GACGAACGCUGGCGGCGUGCCUAAUACAUGCAAGUCGACCUUAGUGGCGAACGGGUGAGUAACACGUGGGUAACCUGCCCAUCAGAAGGGGAUAACACUUGGAAACAGGUGCUAAUACCGUAUACUGAUGGAUGGACCCGCGGUGCAUUAGCUAGUUGGUGAGGUAACGGUUCACCAAGGCCCAGAUGCAGCGUCAACCUGAGAGGGUGAUCGGCCACAUGGGGACUGAGCCAUGGACCAAACGCCUACGGGAGGCAGCAGUAGGGAAUCUUCGGCAAUGGACGAAAGUCUGAACGAGCAACGCCGCGGGAGUGAAGAAGGUUUUCGGAUCGUAAAACUCUGUUGUUAGAGAAGCGGUAUCUAACCAGAAAGCCACGGCUAACUACGUGCCAGCAGCCGCGGUAAUUC
rnacentral:rRNA from 1 species